rnacentral:misc_RNA from 1 species
GGUGGAAGCAACAGUUGGAGGGCAAAAUAAUAUAUACAUAAUACACAUUGAGUCAAUUUUCCUCGUGUUCACUUGAGAGUAAUAAACUUAUUACUACCAUGUUUUGCCCAAUGGUCCUUCAGGUCAACUGGAUUAGAAAGAUCAUGACCUUCAGUUGCAAGUGUACACAGAAGCUUAUUAUAUGCUCCAUUAGACAUUUUUCUCCCAGCCUUACGAUUCCCAGGCUUUGAGGGAUUGAAUGGGAGCGGAUACUCAGAUAAGGAGGUGGUACAGCAUGAUGAU